AAGUCGUAACAAGGUUUCCGUAGGUGAACCUGCGGAAGGAUCAUUAACACAUCUCCACAAAACGUAUCCCGAUACGUAUACACCCCCUUUUUUAUGGUGAACUCUGUUGGGAAGUGCAUCAUAGCUUUCGGGCUCCCUGACCGCUUCCGCUUUUUCUUCUUCUUCUUCUAAAAACAACAACCCCAUUAUACCUUUUUUUGACUGAACCUGUGUGUUUUCUUGGUGUUUCCUUUUUUUUUAAAACCAAAAAAGGAAAACCCCAAAAAAAAUCACAACCUAAGAAAUGAAAAAAACAACUCUUAGCAACGGAUAUCUUGGCUCUC
rnacentral:misc_RNA from 1 species